CAGGAUGGUUUUGUCAUAAAACUCAGUUGGCAAUAAAAGAAGUCUUACCCAAAUUACUGUGAAAGCAAUUUUGGACUUGGAGGGUACAAAAUUCGGUUCCCAUACUCUGAUUGAAACAUAUAAGCCCACCACGAAUCAUGACCCUUCUAGCAAGAUCUUUUUCUGAAUCUCUCUAGAGUAAUCUUCACUGUGUAGAAGUCCUCCCCUAGAUCGAUGAGGACCACAUUUUCCUGUAAUUUCUAUAAAUCAGUCAACUUGGAGCGGAGGUAUUGGUGAUUUAGUUUCCUUCCCACACACUUGAUAAUUAUAGAUCUUUUUCAUGGAUUAUAUAGUCUUUCCUUAUCCUCAUCCGAUAGUUGAAUGGGGUCUUCAUCAGAUUCGAUAUCUGUAUUUUUCAAGUUGUUGAAGGUCAUGGUUGGUUUAUUAGUUCCAAAGCUAUGCUUAUAUCUCUCUUCUACUGCUUCGUUAUAAAAUUAUUUACUUGGGGGGUCUUCUUCCAUUUUGGCCGGUGUUAGGUCCGGUGGGUCCUACAGUAGUAGUGAUGCAGAUGGGUCUGGGUUUUGCAAUUCAGUCGGCGAUGACAUUUGGGAAUUUUUAGAGAGAGUGUCUUUCUCUCACCUUGAUCAAAACUAGAAUUAACUCCACAAAAUAUCAUUUUCUUCACUCAAGUUAAGAAUUAUCUUUUUCUAUUUUAAUUCGCGAGAAUUGCAAUCCGACCUUCUAUAUUGUAUAAAGCGGAGUGUUGGCCGGUUAAGAAUUCUCAUAUCCAAAAGUAGAAAGUGGCGGAAAUGAGGAUAUUGCGUUGGAUGUGUGGUUUCACAAGGGCUGACAGGGUUAAGAAUGAUAUUAUUUGGGAGAAGGUGAGAGUGGUAUCUGUGGAGGAAAAAAUGCGGGAAAUAGGGUUGAGAUGGUUUGGUCAUGUGAUGAGGAGGGGUACAGAUGUCCCAGUUCGUAAGUGUGAGAGGUUGGCCUUGGAAGAUUUUAAGCGGGGUAGAGGUAGACCAAAGAAAUACUGAAGAGAAGUGAUUAAGUGUGACAUGGAGCACUUACAGUUGACUAAGGACAUGACCCUGGAUAGGAAGGUAUGGAGGAAAAACAUUAGGAUAGAGGGCUAAGGGUGUGGAUGAGUCGUAGCUAGUAAUUAGUUGGACUUUUUGGCAAUGUACAAUCUUCUGUGGAUGUCGUACCUAUAUUAUUUUAUCAUGUUCCUUGCUUUUGAUGCUUUUGGAUAUUGUCUUUAAUCUUGAGCUGGGGGUCUAUCGGAAACAGUCUCUCUACCUCUUUAGAGGUAGUGGUAUAGACUGUGUACACUCUACCCUCCCCAGACCCCACUUUGUGGGAAUAUAUUGAGUUUGUUGUUGUUGUAUUUUAAUUCACCAUUAUUGAACCAAGAAAAGAAUUUUUCUCUUGACUUUUCUAUUCCUUUCAAUUUUUUUUGGUCCAAUUUUUUUUCAUUAUUUCUUUUGUUGUUGUCUUUAUCACUAUACAAAAAAUCCUCCAUAAAUAUAAAACAAAGCUCCACGAAGAAAUAAUUUACACGAACAGACUUGAAAAAUCUUCUUUUGAAUUUUGCAUCACUUUCUAUUAAUAACAAAAUCCUUUUCAUUUUCCACAGAAAAAAUAUUAAUUUUUUCAAUCUCAUUAGUCAACAAGUACACAAAUUCCACUGCUUUGACCUACUCAACAUCGAUGGAGCCAAACAAUAUUAACCGUAUAUAUUCCCUAAAUCUUACCACGUUCUUCAACAUAUCCCCUACCAUGACAAUAUUUUUUCAACAUGUUGCUACAAUUCCUUCUUAAUUUUUUAAAAAAGAAGAGAAAUUUAAUAUUCGUUCUUCUUUACUCCACAAAUCCUAUUCCUUUACCCCACCCUUCCAUUUUUUCUCAUUUUUCACCACGAAAAAUUUUCAAUUAAUAUAUGAAAAACAACAUUGAAUAAAGGAAGAACCUUGAUGAAGGACCCAAAUAAGAAACUCACUUUUUGAUUUGGAUGGUGGGUCGGUUGAUUUGGAUGGAGUUAGUUCACCAGUCAUCGACUGCAGUGGUUGGCGGUGUAUGUUGAUGAGCAAUGAAAAAGAUAAAAUUGGAGUUGGGUGAUUUUGAUAUUGUUAAUGGAUGAAGUAUUGAUUGUUGUUCUAAUUGUUGUGUGGAAGAGAAAAGAAAAGAAAAAUGGUAUGAGGGAGUAUGGCAGUGGUGGAAGGUUGUGGGUGGGCUAUGGGUUGGGGGAGGUAGAGAUGGCGGUUGUGGGUUGGGAGAGAUGGAGGAAAACGAGAUAAAUAAUUUUUAAUUUAUUAUUUUAUUUUUUUUUAUUUAAUAUUAUUGAUUGAUAAUUUUCAAAAAUAAUUAAUAAAGAUAAUUAUUACAUGUUAUUUAUUUAUGUGAUGCGGAUUUGAGUCUCAUUUAUAUUAGUGCGAGUGAGUUA
rnacentral:lncRNA from 1 species